CGGGGUGCACCAGGCGCGAAAACUUUACAAUGCGGGAAACCGUGAUAAGGGGACACCGAGUGCCAGCAUUAUAUGCUGGCUGUCCAGGUGUGUAAAAUACACCUGUUAGCAAGGGCCGGGCAAGACCGGUGCCAGCCGCCGCGGUAACACCGGCGGCCCGAGUGGUGAUCGUGAUUAUUGGGUCUAAAGGGUCCGUAGCCGGUUUGGUCAGUCCUCCGGGAAAUCUGAUAGCUUAACUAUUAGGCUUUCGGAGGAUACUGCCAGACUUGGAACCGGGAGAGGUAAGAGGUACUACAGGGGUAGGAGUGAAAUCUUGUAAUCCCUGUGGGACCACCUGUGGCGAAGGCGUCUUACCAGAACGGGUUCGACGGUGAGGGACGAAAGCUGGGGGCACGAACCGGAUUAGAUACCCGGGUAGUCCCAGCCGUAAACGAUGCUCGCUAGGUGUCAGGCAUGGCGCGACCGUGUCUGGUGCCGCAGGGAAGCCGUGAAGCGAGCCACCUGGGAAGUACGGCCGCAAGGCUGAAACUUAAAGGAAUUGGCGGGGGAGCACAAGGGCGAAUCGCG
rnacentral:rRNA from 1 species